UAGUCCAUCUAAAUUCGUACCGUACCACCAAGGAAGUCUUCAUGAGGCCAUUUUCAGGCUGAUGACUAAGGCAAACAGUACAGGCUUCUGGAGCUAAAAAGUCCAUCAUUGCCCAUCAUUAUCAGAGCUCCCAACAGUGCUACCCGCAGCUGGAACUGAAAGGUGUUAGCACAGGGUCAGAGCAUGUUCCAGAAUAUGUGGAAAAGUUGCUGACACUGGAGAGAUUUGUUGGGACGUGCACCAAAUCUGAAACCUUGACCACUUCUGCAGCAGGACCUUCAACAAAAGAGGAAAUGGAGGGAAGGCACAAGAAAGGUUCUUGAACCAGGGGAGAAGGAAAGCAUUGACCCAAGAGUGCUGUCCCAUCCCCGCCUUGGAGCGGUAUCGUGGACACUUCUUGUUCCGCUCUCUCUCUAUCCUCUUGGACCCUACUGUUGUUGCUACAAAGUUGAAGGAUCACGUGGAAUCCCUGUCUAAACACUACCAAAGGAGUGCAGCAUUGCAGGCCGAUUCUGUUCUUUUGUCUGUCUUCUCCACCAUAAAGAAAGAACUGCAACACAAGGAUGGCAGCGAAAUGGCAGCUAGCAGACCAGUACCAGCUAAAAGAAAAUCUCCAAGGGUUAAAAAAGCAUUGCCAAAUGCUCUUGGUUAAUAAAGAGGACAGCCCAAAACCAGUGAAAUCAAUCUGGGGAGGACUGCUUUAAGAAGAAUGAGUAGGAUCUGGCUGCAGCUGUUGGUGGCAGAACAUAAAUGGCAGGGUCUAAAAAACGUACAGCCAUUCCCAUUCUGCCUUGGCUGAUUGAAGGCAGAACCAGACCUAAUAGCUGUAAAUAGAUGGAAGAACGAAAACAUGGACCCACUGUAAGUAACCUGCAGACCUUAAGAGGGAAAAAGCCAGUUUUCCCUUCAUUAAUGACUGAUGCUAGAGUAGACACAAAUAAGUUGACCAGAGAAUCAGUGUCUAUAGUAUUUAUAUCACUCAUUCUUCCGUCUAUGAAAGGGGAUAGAGAUGUCUGUCUCCUUUGUAAAGUGCUUUGAGAUCUACAGAUGAAGAGUGCUACAAGAGAUGGGGGAUUAAAAGGGUCUGUAACAAAAAUUUAAA